GAUGAACGCUGGCGGCGUGCCUAAUACAUGCAAGUCGAGCGAACAGACGAGGAGCUUGCUCCUCUGACGUUAGCGGCGGACGGGUGAGUAACACGUGGAUAACCUACCUAUAAGACUGGGAUAACUUCGGGAAACCGGAGCUAAUACCGGAUAAUAUAUUGAACCGCAUGGUUCAAUAGUGAAAGACGGUUUUGCUGUCACUUAUAGAUGGAUCCGCGCCGCAUUAGCUAGUUGGUAAGGUAACGGCUUACCAAGGCAACGAUGCGUAGCCGACCUGAGAGGGUGAUUGGCCACACUGGAACUGAGACACGGUCCAGACUCCUACGGGAGGCAGCAGUAGGGAAUCUUCCGCAAUGGGCGAAAGCCUGACGGAGCAACGCCGCGUGAGUGAUGAAGGUCUUCGGAUCGUAAAACUCUGUUAUUAGGGAAUAACAAAUGUGUAAGUAACUAUGCACGUCUUGACGGUACCUAAUCAGAAAGCCACGGCUAACUACGUG
rnacentral:rRNA from 1 species